UGCAGCCUACGGGACGCAGCAGUGGGGAAUAUUGGGCAAUGGGCGCAAGCCUGACCCAGCAACGCCGCGUGAAGGAAGAAGGCUUUCGGGUUGUAAACUUCUUUUCUGAGGGACGAAGAAAGUGACGGUACCUCAGGAAUAAGCCACGGCUAACUACGUGCCAGCAGCCGCGGUAAUACGUAGGUGACAUGCGUUAUCCGGAUUUAUUGGGUGUAAAGGGCGUGUAGGCGGGAAAGCAAGUCAGAUGUGAAAACUCAGGGCUCAACCUGUGGCCUGCAUUUGAAACUGUUUUUCUUGAGUACUGG
rnacentral:rRNA from 1 species